UUUUCUGUGGGAAGAGCCACCUGAGCUCCUGGCUGGCCCCGCCCCGUUCUGACCACGCCCAGCCGCGGCCCCAACCGCCCUCCCGGCCAUGGUCCCGCCCCCUACCAGGCUCCGCCUCCACAAGGUCCGGCGUUGACCCUUCACCUUGACCCAUCGCUUCAGCCUCAGCCCAGAUCACGCCUACCUGGCUCCACCCUUCUCCAUGACCACGCCCCCGCCACGACUCCGCAAGGCCUGACCCUGCCCUAAGGGAGCCAGGUCCUUGGUCCGUUCCUGAACCUCUCUGCCCAGAGCGGGCCUGGCGUCCAGUGACCUCUCACCAUCAAAGAGAGUGAAGAAAGCCUCUCUCUCGUCCCUGAUGUCCAGACGGGCAGAAUGGCUCCUCCCAGCUGGGCUGAAUGCUGCUACCUCUGUGGCCCAAAGCAUCCUGGGCUGGUCCACGUGAGCUCCUCAAGGGCGGAGGUUGUGUCCUUUCUGGAUCUGUACCCCAGGGAGACACAGGGCCUGGGCUGAGCGGCCACUCGGUAGUGUGUGGAGAAUGGAUGGAUGGGUGUCUGGAGAGUGGGCUGGCAGGGACAGCAGCCUGAUGGGGCUGCUGUGAAGACAGAGCGCUUAUUAUACACAUGACACGUGUCAACGUGGGCUAGCGGUGGUAAUGGCGAGGAGGACGUGGCGACAUCCGGGCACGACUAGAGAACGGCCGGAAGAGAAGCAAGUGCACAACGGGCCGGUGGUCGGCUCCGGAGGGAGCAAGCCGCGCCUCCCACCGCCCAGAGUGGACGGAGAACUUCUGCAGCGGAUCUGGAGGCUUGGCAGCGUGGGCGCACUCUGCAGAAGCAAGCGCGGCCGCCACGCCUCCACCUGGCUUUCCUAACUCUGUGCGGGGUCCCCCUCCACCCUGGCUUUCUGCAAGUUAGAGUUAUACCGCUUCACUUUUAACUUAGCAGGACCCACAUUGGUACCUGCUUUUGCUAACUAGAAGAAGUCCGAAGAGGCUCUUUGCCUUUACGGACAAAGGCGAAAAGAGAAAAUAGCGUUCGGCGGUUUGUUUUGCAGUGUGCCUUACAGAGGCAGUGGACAGCUGGCCGGCCCGCCCAGCUCCUUCCUGGGAACCGCCCUCAGCACCCCAUGUACAGACCCAGAGCUCUGAGCUGUGUCUGUGAGGAUCUGGACUUUAUCUCAACUUAUGUUGUGCGUCCAUUAGCAAGAUGUACCCUAAGGUAUCAGAAAAGCCUAAGAAAGGUUAUUUUUUGGGUCUGGACGCGCUAACAUUUUUCCCCAUAUGCCUCUUUGCUUUACAGCAUCUUGGCUUAUGAAAGCGUUCAUAGGGUUGCUCUACUGAUGGUGGGAAAACCUGUGUUUAUUACUUUCACAAAGAAAUAAGCCGUGAAUCUUCAUUUCUUGUCAUUCAAAUGAACAAAGGUUAAGAGAGAAAAAAGAAAAAAAGGCCCCCGGUGUGCACGCAGGUGGGGACAUGUGACGUCUGUGGCUGGCAGGGGCGUGACGGGUGGGGUUGGGAGGUGUGCAUGUCAGACCUCCUGGCCCCGCAAGCCUUCUCUCUAGUGCCUGCACUUGUCAGAGUGUCUCUGAAGGACGUUCUAAAUACAGAUGCAAAGCUUUAUGCUCAAAGAGGUUCACGGAACGCAUUUAUCACAAGAGUCGCAGGAUGGGAGCCCCCCACAGCAAAGGAUGGCCCCCACAUCACGUGCGGCCUGCAGAAGCCCGGGGCAGGUGAAAGCUCGACUUUAGAGUAAAUUUUGAAAUAAACUUUUUACCUGGUCAG